UUAAAUUUGACAUAAGAUAAGUUAGUAUAUGGGUAUUUUGAAAUGAGUAGGCAGGAAAAUAGAAUGACAAGAAUAAAAUACUUACAAUAAUAGAGCUUUUAUUGAGAACUUCAAAACUUGGAUUACAAUGCGAAAGAGAUAUUACACAGAUUGAAAGAGAGAAGGAGAUGGGUUUUUUCCGGAAGCCUUUCCCGAAUGGGUAAGCUUCCUUUUAUACAUACUUUGAACCACUACUGUAUCUUGGGUUUUGAUAACUCUGGUUACUUUUUGAAAUAACUCGAGUUUUCUUUUUGAAAAUUAUUGAUGACUAUUUUGGCUUCUUCUUCUUUUGGGUUGAUGGCUGAUAGAACUUGUCUGCCACGCCUAUCACUUUUGUCAUUUUGCCAUGAUUUGCUUUGAUC
rnacentral:lncRNA from 1 species